rnacentral:rRNA from 1 species
UACGGGGGGGGCAAGCGGUGUUCGGAAUUACUGGGCGUAAAGGGCUCGUAGGCGGCCAACUAAGUCAGACGUGAAAUCCCUCGGCUUAACCGGGGAACUGCGUCUGAUACUGGAUGGCUGGAGUUUGGGAGAGGGAUGCGGAAUUCCAGGUGUAGCGGUGAAAUGCGUAGAUAUCUGGAGGAACACCGGUGGCGAAGGCGGCAUCCUGGACCAAUACUGACGCUGAGGAGCGAAAGCCAGGGGAGCAAACGGG